GAAUGACCAAGUGCAUGCUGGCCACUGGGAGUGGAUUGGUGGUGAACCUGUCGUCUUCACCAACUGGAGGAAAGGCCCCCUUCAACGUUCAAAGCCUGGGAAGAACUGUGUUUUGGCUCAAAGACAAGGGAAAUGGCAAACGCAGGACUGUAGCAAGAGCAGACCUCACAGUUACGUGUGCUCCAGGAAACUCGAAAAGUAACUAGCCUUACAGUUUAUGAGUGAUUCUAUCUGGUAAAAAAGGAACAUAGAAGAAGAGUUCCAGGAAGAUCGAUCAAUGAAUAUUUCUUUAGGGAAGACAGACAAUUCUUGGAUUUCAAUACAUUUCAGAAUAAAUGCCUGAAGUAUUAUAUGGUCCAAGAUUUGCUGAUUCCAGGAGACUCCCACCCUGACCCCACUCCAUAUCUGAGUCAGUACCAAUUUCAUGGUCCUUGGAUUUUUUUUAAAUCCCAAUAUCUCAAAUGAGCCCAUUCCAAAAUCUGUAUUGCUGGUGCUUCUCCCACUUCAGUCUGAGUAAAAGAAAUUCUACCGGUUCCUUAAAUCACAGCUGAGGUGCCAUCGUUGCUUUGUCCCUUUGGAGGUCUUUCACAUGUGAACCCUAAGAUAAGAGGCUGUGGAUAAAAAGAGUAUUGUGCGUGGUGGAAAAGGAAAGCUUUACAUGGGCGAAUCUCACAGAUGGAAACUCAUUUGCAAAGCUCUAGUUCAAGUGGGAAUUCAGAGGCUACCUGUACCCUAGAGGUCUACCCAUCACCACUCGUGAGACAGAUUGCUUUCUUCAAUGAAAAUGUUGGCCUUGUACCAUUCCAAAGCCAAUCAUUCCAUUUCCCUGGCCUUAUAGAUUCAUGAGAAAUCUGAAGCCACCCGAACCUCUCUUUUCAUUUGUGUGUGUAGUACGCAGUGACAUUUGUCAAGGACGUUUGAAAUAGAGUAUAUGUGAAUGAGGGUUACAAGUUGGAAGAAAAACGCUGCUUCCUCAGAAGUGUCCCAAUGAACUAUGUUGAUGAACAAAGAAAAAUAAUACUGAAAACAGAGCCCUUGAAAACCUAUAUUCUCAGGAAGGAUUUUGAUAUAAUUUUGAGCCCUGAAGUCUUUAAUAUUUGUAGAAAUGGCACGCUAACUUGAUUCGCUAACAUAAAGGUACCUUAUUAAUUUAUAAUAUCAGCAGAACAAAACAUUUUUGUACCAGUGAGACGUGUUGCAGCCUUACAAGAACUCCCAUCUGAAAUCAAGGUUUAAUUACAGGAAAUUAGAAAUUUACUUCUGAAGCAUGCGCUCUAAAUUUUCCUCUUUUCAUAAUCACUGAAAAGAACGGUUGUGCCAAAUGUAACUUUCUCUCUGAGCACCGGUGUAAUUUCAGCAUCAAAAUGGGGUUCCCAAGUAGACGAAAGCUUUGGUGCAGGUUUUAUUAUAAUAACAUGUUCAGCAAAACUAAAAUAAACUGAAGAGAUUCAGUCCGAUUUCUGGAUAUAAC